GUAGAGGAUGCUUCUGGGCAGCCUCCGGUCUAAGUUCCUUGGAACAGGACGUCAUAGAGGGUGAGAAUCCCGUAUGCGACCGGUCGGCACCCUCCACGUAGCUCCUUCGACGAGUCGAGUUGUUUGGGAAUGCAGCUCUAAAUGGGAGGUAAAUUUCUUCUAAAGCUAAAUACCGGCCAGAGACCGAUAGCGCACAAGUAGAGUGAUCGAAAGAUGAAAAGCACUUUGGAAAGAGAGUUAAAAAGCACGUGAAAUUGUUGAAAGGGAAGCGCUUGCAACCAGACUUGCCUGCGGUGUUCAGCCGGUCUUCUGACCGGUCCAUUCGCCGCCUGCAGGCCAGCAUCAUCUGCGGCCGCCGGAUAAAGGUGGUGGGAAAGUGGCCCCCUCGGGGGUGUUAUAGCCCACCUCAGAAUACGGCGCGUCGCGGGUGAGGUCCGCGCUUCGGCCAGGAUGCUGGCGUAAUGGUUGUAAGCGGCCCGUCUUGAAACACGGACCAAGGAGUCUAACAUCUAUGCGAGUGUUCGGGUGUCAAACCCCUACGCGUAAUGAAAGUGAACGGAGGUGGGAACUUUUUGUGCACCAUCGACCGAUCUUGAUGUCUUCGGAUGGAUUUGAGUAAGAGCAUAGCUGUUGGGACCCGAAAGAUGGUGAACUAUGCCUGAAUAGGGUGAAGCCAGAGGAAACUCUGGUG
rnacentral:rRNA from 2 species